rnacentral:rRNA from 1 species
AUCCCAGACUCCUACGGGAGGCAGCAGUCGGGAAUAUUGCGCAAUGGAGGGAACUCUGACGCAGUGACGCCGCGUAUAGGAAGAAGGUUUUCGGAUUGUAAACUAUUGUCAUUAGGGAAGAUAAAAGACUGUACCUAAGGAGGAAGCCCCGGCUAACUAUGUGCCAGCAGCCGCGGUAAUACAUAGGGGGCAAGCGUUAUCCGGAAUUAUUGGGUGUAAAGGGUGCGUAGACGGAUAAGCAAGUCUGAUGUGAAAAUCCGGGGCCCAACCCCGGAAUUGCAUUGGAAACUGCAUAUCUAGAGUGUCGGAGAGGCAAGUGGAAUUCCUGGUGUAGCGGUGAAAUGCGUAGAUAUCAGGAGGAACACCAGUGGCGAAGGCGGCUUGCUGGACGAUGACUGACGUUGAGGCUCGAAAGCGUGGGGAGCAAACAGGAUUAGAUACCCGGGUAU